CACAGGAGAUCUUCUAGUCUACAACACUCGGAAACAUGUUUGCAACUCAUUUCUUUCUUGUUAUCGGGAUCCCGUUUGCCAAUGGCAAAAGUCUUUUUCCAGACUUUGGACAGACCAGCAUUGAAUAAUAUCAAGUCACAGAUAUGCACAGAGCAUUUUUUCCGCACAAAAACAGUGUUUCCGAAGAUAAACGUGAUUGUUCUGCUCCAUGGCAGUCAUGGGUGUGCAGUAGCAAGAAAUGUCAGGAUUGCUGGGGAGACGGGCCUAAUAAGGGUAAUAUUUUACAGAUGUCGAUAAAUAUCAUGAGUAUGGCAGGCGUGAAUUUAAGCCGCGUUCUUUGACUCUGGGCAGAAGCAAUGUUCGAAAGGCUAUACAGGGACGACAGUUUCCGAUUUUUGCUUGAAAUGAAGUCCCCAGUGUAUGGGGAAAGUGUUGCCCUGAUAAGCCUUUGCGGGCUUCAAAAGCUCAUCUGAGACCACAUGCAUAAAGCCAAGUUUUCCAAGAACGAGGCCUAUGUAUAAAUAGUAGAUGGUUGAUGCACUCGCGCCUUGUUGUGAUGUUUUCUUUCGUGUCCGAAUUCAACAUGAACACUGAAUUGAGUUGCUUUUGUUUUGUUUUUCAACAGAUUGCGUGAUCGCCACGUCUGCUCCAGGUCGGAUUCACCUGGUGAUGCAAUAUAGCAAUAUCACGCUCGUGGAGGGCGAUAU